AAUUGACAACUUUGGUAUUGUUUGGUAUAAACAGCUUAAUUCCUUUAUGUAAAGCCACCUUAACAUGUUUUUGCAUAAUUCUGACUCACGUUGGUUGCUAUCGGGCUUAAGCCAUAAAAAUCGAAGAAAAAAAGAAGAAGACGUCCACUUUCACUUGUCAUUUCAAUGUCACUUUCCGGCCCACAAGCAUAAACGCCACCGGCAACGGGAGUUCCCAAAUCCAAACAAAGGUUGGAAGAUAUUUUUAAGUCUCCACAUCUUUCUUACUUUUCUAUAUGAAAAUAAAAUUGGACUACACCAACAAAGGUUAUGUGUUUUGCACCAGAUUGAAAGCAUCAUAGCGAAAAACGGACCUGUCAUUUCUUUAAAUUUCCAAAAGAGCCCCUGGAAAAAGAAAAAUUAAUAUCUCUGCUAAGGAAUACUAAGGCAAAUGGAUAAAAAACCUUCAGUCCAUGCAUUGGUAUGUAAUUAAUAUAAUAUUGACAAAAAUACAAUGAAUGGCCUCACUACUUUUCCACAUGCAAAGAGGUUAACCAAGGAGAAAUUAAAGAAAUUGUCAGAAACCUAGGUAAAUACAGAAUUGCUUAGUACAAACUUAUCUAUACCCAGUACAAGUUUGUCCACUUCUUUGAAGCAUGGUACUUCAAACAGAGAAACUGUCAACGAUUUGGUAGAAGGUGAGCCCAUGUCAAAUUCCAGUAAGAGACAUGAUUUCAAUUUUGCACCAACAGCAGAGCCGAAAUUCAUUUUGCUUAUUAAGUUUUGCAAAUUAAGUUUUUCAUAUGAGCAUAUAAAAAAUAUUCAUAACAAAGUUCAGUUGUAUACAGGUUUGACAUGUAAUAAAUAUUUUGUAACCUUAUUAAGUUAAUUAGUUUUAUACAUUAUUUAAAUAAUAAUUGUAUAGUUCACAUAGAAUAGGCAGAAAUUAUAUGUACAUAUAUAAAAAAUUUUAUUAAGAUAAGGAGAACAUGUAUUAAAGCAUAACACAUA